GACGAACGCUGGCGGCGCGCCUAAUACAUGCAAGUAGAACGCACAGUUUAUACCGUAGCUUGCUACACCAUAGACUGUGAGUUGCGAACGGGUGAGUAACGCGUAGGUAACCUGCCUGGUAGCGGGGGAUAACUAUUGGAAACGAUAGCUAAUACCGCAUAAUAUUAAUUAUUGCAUGAUAAUUAAUUGAAAGGUGCAAUUGCACCACUACCAGAUGGACCUGCGUUGUAUUAGCUAGUAGGUGAGGUAACGGCUCACCUAGGCGACGAUACAUAGCCGACCUGAGAGUGUGAUCGGCCACACGGGGACGGGGACACGGCCCAGACUCCUGCGGGAGGCAGCAGUAGGGAAUCUUCGGCAAUGGACGAAGGUCUGACCGGACAACGCCGCGUGAGUGAAGAAGGUUUUCGGAUCGUAAAGCUCUGUUGUAAGAGAAGAACGGGUGUGAGAGUGGAAAGUUCACACUGUGACGGUAUCUUACCAGAAAGAGACGGCUAACUACGUG
rnacentral:rRNA from 1 species